rnacentral:rRNA from 1 species
UAAAUAGAUACCCGGGUAGUCCACGCCCUAAACGAUGCGAACUGGAUGUUGGGUACAUUACGGUACUCAGUGUCGAAGCUAACGCGUUAAGUUCGCCGCCUGGGGAGUACGGUCGCAAGACUGAAACUCAAAGGAAUUGACGGGGGCCCGCACAAGCGGUGGAGUAUGUGGUUUAAUUCGAUGCAACGCGAAGAACCUUACCUGGCCUUGACAUCUGUCGAAUCCUGCAGAGAUGCGGGAGUGCCGCAAGGAACGACAAGACAGGUGCUGCAUGGCUGUCGUCAGCUCGUGUCGUGAGAUGUUGGGUUAAGUCCCGCAACGAGCGCAACCCUUGUCCCUAGUUGCCAGCACGUAAUGGUGGGAACUCUAGGGAGCUGCCGGUGACAAACCGGAGGAAGGUGGGGAUGACGUCAAGUCCUCAUGGCCCUUACGGCCAGGGCUACACACGUACUACAAUGGUCGGUACAGAGGGUUGCGAAGCCGCGAGGUGGAGCCAAUCCCAGAAAACCGAUCCCAGUCCGGAUCGGAGU